UCGGUAUCUAAUAUCUUUUAGAUCAGCAUAUUUUCGUUAUUAUUAACUCAAUUUCCCCAAAUUUGAUGCAGAGUUAUUGAUGUAUAAGUUGCUUGUCACAGUUAAUGGGACUUAUAGCAGUAAUUUGGUUAAAUUUUAAAUAGACCAGACACGUGCUAGAAGUUUCCGGACACUAACUAACAACAGAUCCCUGUUCUAAAUCAGUCCUUACGUCAGUCCAUG
rnacentral:lncRNA from 1 species